GGCCGGUUAGCUCAGUCAGCAGAGCAUAGCGUUAACAACGCAAAGGUCGCGGGUUCAAUUCCCGUUCGGUCC
rfam:Apaloderma vittatum contig87010, whole genome shotgun sequence.